rnacentral:lncRNA from 1 species
GAAGAACACCUAUAGCGACGGUUGUCUGUCGCUAUAGCCUUUAGCGACGGAUUUUAUUUAUUUUAUUUUCUGUAAUUUCCGAAAAUGAUUUAAAAAUUAGAAAAAUUAGAUUUUAAUAAUUAAAAAUACCAAAUAAAUUCUGAAAAAUUAUUUUAAAGUCCGAAAAAUAGUUUUUAAUUAUUUUGAGUAUAUUUCAUAAAUAUGUAAUAUUUUUGGAAUAUAAAAAGUAUUUAUUUAUUUAAUUAUAAUAUUAAAUAAAUUAUUUAAAAAUAGUUUUAAUUCAUGAAAAAUCAUGAAAAAUUAUAUUAUGGUAUAAGAAAAUAUUUUAAGUUAUUUCCCAUGACUUUUAAUAUUUUGUGAUGAAUUUCAUUAAUUAAUUAUAUAUUAAUGAUAUUAAAGUUAUUUAAUGAUUAUAUUAAAUAAUUUAGUUUAAAAAUGAUUUUAAUAUUAUAAAAAUCAUUUUAAAUGAAAUUAAGGUAUUUAAAAAUAUUUUAAGUUAUAAAAUAUAACUUUUAAUAUUUAAAGGAUAAUUUCAUUAAUAAUUUAAUAUUAAUGAUAUUAAGAUAAUAUUAAUGAUAUUUAGUUUAUUUAAUAAUUAUUAUUAAAUAAAUAGUUUAAAAAUGGUUUUAUUUAUUUAAAAAUCAUUUAAAGAGGAUAUUAAGGAUUUAAAAAUAUUUUAAGUUAUAAUUAAUGACUUUUAAUAUUUGGAUGAAUAGUACAUUAAUAUUUAUAUAUUAAUGGUGAUUAUUUAAAAAUGAUUUUAAUUGUUUUAAAAAUCAUUUAAGGGUAAUAUAAAUGUUUUAAAAAUAGUUUGAGUUAUUAUAAAUAACUUUUAUAUUUUGGCAAUGGUUUCAUUAAUAGUUUAAUAUAAAUUAAUUAUUAAUGAUAAUGGAAUUGUUUAAUGUUUAAAUCAUUUAAUUAUGAUUCCGAUGUUUGAAAGUUAUAGCCGGCCAAACUAGCUGACUAGAGAACCGGUUAUGAAGUCCAGGAUUUGAUGAAGAGCACCCAUAGUAACAGUUAUAUCACUAUAAGCCCUUGAGUGACAGAUUUGAUUUAUUUUAAAUUUUUCAAUUUCUGGAAAAUUCGAAAAUGAUUAAAAGUAAAAUGUCUGAUAUUUACAGAUGUUGAGGUAUAGAAUAAGAGUCUUAGACUCAGUAUUUACCCGAUAAAGCUGUCGGUACGCCGACAAAUGUCAGACCCUAUAAUAGAAAGAAAAGGCUUCUGUAAGAGCAUGGAUGAGAUAUUUGAAAAAUGUAUAAAAAUAUUUCAAGUAUAGAAUAGGAACUAAAAGUAUGAUCACUGUGAUUAUGUGAUUAGACUAUGUGCUGACUGUAAUAGACAGUACUAUGUGUUAAGAUAUAUUGUUCUAAUCGAACGAAUGAUCUGAUUAUUGAUAGGUUGUGAUAAAGAGAUAAAACCUAAGUUGAGAUUUGUAAUCAGCGAAUCAGGC